UACGGGGGGGGCAAGCGUUGUUCGGAAUUACUGGGCGUAAAGGGCGCGUAGGCGGCCUGCUAAGUCGGACGUGAAAUCCCUCGGCUCAACCGAGGAACUGCGUCCGAUACUGGUGGGCUUGAAUCCGGGAGAGGGAUGUGGAAUUCCAGGUGUAGCGGUGAAAUGCGUAGAUAUCUGGAGGAACACCGGUGGCGAAGGCGGGUCUCUGGACAGUUCCUGACACUGAGACACGAAGGCCAGGGGAGCAAACGGG
rnacentral:rRNA from 1 species